rnacentral:rRNA from 1 species
UACUGGGCGUAAAGGGUGUGUAGGAGGUCGGAAAAGUCGAAUGUGAAAUCCCUCUGCCUAACGGAGGAACUGCGUUCGAAACUGUCUGGCUAGAGGUUCGGAUGGGGAAGCGGAACUCUCGGUGUAGCAGUGAAAUGCGUAGAUAUCGAGAGGAACACCGGUGGCGAAGGCGGCUUCCUGGACGAAACCUGACUCUGAAACACGAAAGCUAGGGGAGCAAACGGGAUUAGAUACCCCGGUAGUCCUAGCUGUAAACGGUGUGCGCUAGGUGUUGGCGGAUUCGACCCCGCCGGUGCCGAAGCUAACGCAUUAAACGCACCGCCUGAGGAGUACGGUCGCAAGGCUAAAACUCAAAGAAAUUGACGGGGGCCCGCACAAGCGGUGGAGCAUGUGGCUUAAUUCGAUGCAACGCGAAGAACCUUACCUACCCUUGACAUCCUCGGAACUUGUCAGAGAUGACUUGGUGCCUUCGGGAACCGAGAGACAGGUGCUGCAUGGCUGUCGUCAGCUCGUGUUGUGAAAUGUUGGGUUAAGUCCCGUAACGAGCGCAACCCUUAUCCUUAGUUGCCAGCGAGUAAUGUCGGGAACUCUAGGGAGACUGCCGGUGAUAAACCGGAGGAAGGUGGGGAUGACGUCAAGUCCUCAUGGCCCUUAUGGGUAGGGCUACACACGUCAUACAAUGGGCGGUACAGAGGGUUGCCAACCCGUGAGGGGGAGCCAAUCCCUUAAAACCGCUCGUAGUCCGGAUUGUAGUCUGCAACUCGACUGCAUGAAGUCGGAAUCGCUAGUAAUUGUCGG